AGAGUUGACCAAAACAAUAGACCUUACCGUUUAUUCACUUUUUACACAAUGGCCUCGUUUUUGCCAGUUUUUGCAUGACAGGCGCACAUGAAGGUUAUAUUCCCAUGUUUCCUUCACGAUUUAAGCCCAAUAACAAGUACGUUCUUGACCCUAUUGUGCACGAAACACGAGUAAAUACCUGACACGAAAACGAGGCCAUUGGGUGAAACGUCAAUAAACGGUAAGGUCUAUUGUUAACGUAUUUUAAUUU